rnacentral:misc_RNA from 1 species
UUGACGUCACUUCGCGUCUAUGUCUAUUCGUUUUUUUUUUGCUGUCGUUUGCAGAAACGUGCAACUUUUUUGUGCCUCUCCGCUCGAACUCUCUGUGCCUGUACAGCUUGUACGUACGUGUGUCUAUAUUUGUGUGCAUGUGCGUAUGUAUGUGUGUGUGUGCUUGUGUUCAGAUCUCAACGCUCCCCUCCCUCUGUCCUAUCGUCAUGUUUACUCUCUCUUUGCCAGCUCGCUCGUUCUCGUAUGCAUCUUUUUUUUUUCUUGUGUCUGUACCGACACAGCGACCCCGGUGACAGGAGGGGGCGCACCUCAGUGCGUGGCAUCUCCGGGCCCAGCGCACCUUCCCCCCCCCCCACUCUCUCUCGGUCGGAGGAAGCCAUGCACUAUCCCCUCCCCUAUCCCCUGCCAAAUGCCGAGCCACCUCUGGCGCUGGCAGGGCGGUGCAUCGCUGCUGACAGCGGACCGCCAGGCCCUGGGCGGCGUGGCGUCCGGGUGAUCUGCAGCCGCGAACGCGCGUGUGCACUCUCCACAUGAUGGGCAGAGUGUCCGCGUGACUCGAACGCAUCCCACCCAUCCACCCCUCCCCGCCCCCGGCCCUCGCACGGCCCACUGGUGUGGGGAGGCCUGAGCCGCCCCGAGGAGAGGGGGGUGGGGGUAGGCUGCACCAGGGGGGGGGCAGCCGGCACAGCGGGGGAACGGCUGUGAGGCGACCUGCGAGGCGGUGGGUGAGCGGGUAGAGCUGGAGGGCGGGGGCCGUGCCCCAUAUGACCGAGCCGGCGCAUCUGGUGCGAUGCGUGCGUGUCUGUGGCAUCCGCUGCACCACGCUGGGGGGGGGGCCUGUGGCAGGGUAGGGAUGGAGCUGGCGGUGAGUUCCUGCUGUAUAACAGGAUGGGCACAUUAAACGAGAAAAUGCAUUCCGACCUUGUCGUGCGAGCAUGCCGAGGUCCAUGCUCUUGCGUGGUUGCGUGAUUUUUAGGCUACACAGGGAAACAAAAUUAGCCAAAGCAAGGGUUAGUGUUCCCGGCAGCAACACUACGGGGAACGUGCGAAUGCUGAAGAGGCAGGGCAAGUAGGCCUUGUCACCAUUUUCUGUGAUCCAAUCCGUUCUUCGGUGAGCAGAAAUGAAACGGGGCUGGUACGACGCCACAAGCAGCGGGGUAUGCACAUUCGUCAGUGCUUGUCUGCGACGCGCAGUUGCCGCUCUCCCUGUGCUCUGCCGCUCCUUUCGUUUUUCCUGCCGCCGAACUGUGUGAUACCUCGGCCUUUCAACCCCCUUCACGGAUCGCCGCGUUUUGCUGCCCAGCUAUCCCUAUCUCACUCUGCGCUUCUUCUCUUUCCUUGUCGCGCACGCGGACCUACUCCAUCUACCGACUAUGUGGCACGGACACGCACAG